rnacentral:rRNA from 1 species
AAGUCGAACGCACCCGCUUCGGCGCCCCCCCUGGCGCACGGCUGAGUAACACGUGGGAACCUGCCCCCCGGUGGGGGAUAACGCGACGAAAGUUGCGCUAAUCCCGCAUACGUCCUUCGGGGGAAAGCGCAGUGCGCGCCGGGGGAGGGGCCUGCGGCCCAUCAGGUCGUUGGUGGGGUAAUGGCCUACCAAGCCGAUGACGGGUAGCUGGUCUGGGAGGAUGACCAGCCAGACUGGGACUGAGACACGGCCCAGACUCCUACGGGAGGCAGCAGCAAGGAAUUUUCGGCAAUGGGCGCAAGCCUGACCGAGCAACGCCGCGUGCGGGAUGACGGCCUUCGGGUUGUAAACUCCUUUCGGGUGGGACGAC